CGAACGCUGGCGGCGUGCCUAACACAUGCAAGUCGAACGCGAAAGUCCUUCGGGGUGAGUAAAGUGGCGCACGGGUGAGUAACACGUAGGUGACCUGCCUCUUAGAGGGGAAUAACCAGAAGAAAUUUUGGCUAAUGCCGCAUACGAAGUACAAAUCUAAAAGUAGUACUUGAAAGGAUGCCUCUGUAUAUGCAUUCACUAAGAGAUGGGCCUGCGGAACAUUAGCUAGUUGGUGGGGUAAAGGCCUACCAAGGCAACGAUGUUUAUCCGGUCUGAGAGGAUGAUCGGACACACUGGAACUGAGACACGGUCCAGACUCCUACGGGAGGCAGCAGUGGGGAAUAUUGCGCAAUGGGGGAAACCCUGAUGCAGCGACGCCGCGUGGAGGAUGACGGAUCUAGGUCUGUAAACUCCUUUUUCAUGGAAAGACUUAGGACGGUACCAUGAGAAUAAGGACCGGCUAACUACGUGCCAGCAGCCGCGGUAAGACGUAGGGUCCAAGCGUUGUCCGGAUUUACUGGGCGUAAAGAGCGCGUAGGCGGCUUGAUAAGUGUGAUGUGAAAUCUCCAGGGCUUAACCCGGAAACUGCACCGCAGACUGUCAGGCUUGAGGAAUGCAGAGGCAACUGGAAUUCCUGGUGUAGCGGUGAAAUGCGUUGAUAUCAGGAGGAACACCCAUGGCGAAGGCAGGUUACUGGGCAUUAUCUGACGCUGAGGCGCGAAAGCGUGGGUAGCAAAC
rnacentral:rRNA from 1 species